GAGAGUUUCAAAAUUUCAAUUAGGUUGAAAUAUUAAUCAUUCUUUCAUAUACAACAUUACUUAUUUCAAACACUUUAACAACAAAAAGACUUUGUUUUUGUCUUCUAAAUAGUCCACAACUAAGAUACUUGUCUUAGAUUCGAUUCCCCAUGGAAUAUGUAGUCUUCUUAACAUAAGCUCCAAAUUUGUUGUUUAAUUUUGUUACAUGCAAUCUUUUUAGAAUAGUCAUGCACUCAUGCUAAUGCAACUUUGACAUAAACGUUUUGUUUUUUUCUUCUAAUUAAGAUGAACUUGAAUAUUGAAAAAUGUGAUGCAUCAUUUGCAAACCACCUACAAAUGAAUACCAAUGUUUCUACAUCCUCUUUUUAAAAGUUUCUUCAAUCGGAAUUGGAUCCAAUUUCGAAAGUUGAUUUAGAAUUGUCAAAAAGAAAUGCUAAAAGCCGCACGAUGACAAAUCCGAGACAUACGCCA